rnacentral:rRNA from 1 species
CACGUAGGGCGCAAGCGUUGUCCGGAAUUAUUGGGCGUAAAGAGCGUGUAGGCGGCUUGUUAAGUCUUGCGUGAAAUCUCGGGGCUCAACCCCGAGCGGUCGUGAGAAACUGGCAGGCUAGAGUGCGGGAGAGGAGAGUGGAAUUCCUGGUGUAGCGGUGAAAUGCGCAGAUAUCAGGAAGAACACCCGUGGCGAAGGCGGCUCUCUGGAACGCAACUGACGCUGAGACGCGAAAGCGUGGGGAGCAAACAGG